rnacentral:misc_RNA from 1 species
UAUUCGUAGGUGAACCUGCGGAAGGAUCAUUAUUGUAUAACCGAGGUGCGAGGGCUGUCGCUGACCCGAAAGGUCGUGCACGCCCGAGUGCCCUCACACACAUCCAUCUCACCCCUAUGUGCACCACCGCGUGGGUCCCCCUUUGGCUUGUUCGGAGGGGGGCUUACGUUUUCACACAAACUUUGUAUGCAGUGUAGAAUGUAUUUUUUGUUUUUGCGAUCACGCAAUCAAUACAACUUUCAACAACGGAUCUCUUGGCUCUC